rnacentral:piRNA from 1 species
UAGAUUGACCAAGGGACGGUCAGGGCCUGU